rnacentral:rRNA from 1 species
AUUGAACGCUGGCGGCAGGCCUAACACAUGCAAGUCGAGCGGAUGAAGGGAGCUUGCUCCUGGAUUCAGCGGCGGACGGGUGAGUAAUGCCUAGGAAUCUGCCUGGUAGUGGGGGAUAACGUCCGGAAACGGGCGCUAAUACCGCAUACGUCCUGAGGGAGAAAGUGGGGGAUCUUCGGACCUCACGCUAUCAGAUGAGCCUAGGUCGGAUUAGCUAGUUGGUGGGGUAAAGGCCUACCAAGGCGACGAUCCGUAACUGGUCUGAGAGGAUGAUCAGUCACACUGGAACUGAGACACGGUCCAGACUCCUACGGGAGGCAGCAGUUGGGAAUAUUGGACAAUGGGCGAAAGCAUGAUCCAGCCAUGCCGCGUGUGUGAAGAAGGUCUUCGGAUUGUAAAGCACUUCAAGUUGGGAGGAAGGGCAGUAAGUUAAUACCUUGCUGUUUCGACGUCACCAACAGAAUAAGCACCGGCUAACUUCGUG